rnacentral:lncRNA from 1 species
GACAGAACUCUUGGCCUUACGAGACGCGGGCAACUUUGCUAUUCAAAGGGAUAGAAGUAAGAAAAUGUUGGAAGAGAUGGCGUUGAGCCUGUUCUGGGUUCUAUUAAUUAAUAAUUAUAUUGUGCCAGGUCACUGAACUUAGAGUAGGAAAUUCCAGUGAAAGCUUUAUCCUAAGAAGACUGAAGAAGAGCAAGAACAUCAGACAUUCCU